UACGUAGGGGGCAAGCGUUGUCCGGAUUUAUUGGGCGUAAAGAGCUCGUAGGCGGUUCCGUAAGUCGUGAAGUCAAAUCUCUGGGCUCAACCCAGAAUCACUUCCGAUACUGCGGUGACUGGAGUCCGGUAGGGGAGUGUGGAAUUCCUGGUGUAGCGGUGAAAUGCGCAGAUAUCAGGAGGAACACCAACAGCGAAGGCAGCACUCUGGGCCGGUACUGACGCUGAGGAGCGAAAGCAUGGGGAGCGAACAGG
rnacentral:rRNA from 1 species